GAAGGUUGGCCCUUCGGAGUCGUCGGUCGGGCGGAGACUUCAAACCACCACAUGCUGCGUUGGCUGAAGACCGUCGUGGUGAGCGAUGUGGAAAAGGCACCCCCAGGAGGUGUCAGGU
rfam:Mycobacterium rutilum strain DSM 45405 genome assembly, chromosome: I